GCUGGGUGCAGUGGCGCACGCCUGUCAUCCCAGUGGCUCAGGAGGCUGAGGCAGGAGGAUUGCGAGUUGGAGGCCAGCCUCGGCAACUUAGUAAGGCCCUAAGUAACUCAGGGAGACCCUGUCUCUA
rnacentral:sRNA from 1 species